rnacentral:rRNA from 1 species
AUUGAACGCUGGCGGUAGGCCUAACACAUGCAAGUCGAGCGAGCGGCGGACGGGAGAGUAAUGUUUGGGGAUCUGCCCGAUAGAGGGGGCUAACUACUGGAAACGGUCGCUAAUACCGCAUACUAUCGGAUGAACCCAUAUGGGAUUAGCUAGUAGGUGGGGUAAAGGCUCACCUAGGCGACGAUCUCUAGCUGGUCUGAGAGGAUGAUCAGCCACACUGGAACGGAGACACGGCCCAGACUCCGACGGGAGGCAGCAGUGGGGAAUAUUGCACAAUGGGGGCAAGCCUGAUGCAGACAUGCAGCGUGUAUGAAGAAGGCCUUAGAGUUGUAAAGUACGUUCAGCGGGGAGGCGUUACCCGCAGAAGAAGCACCGGCUAACUCCGUGCCAGCAGCCGCGGUAAUAC